rnacentral:rRNA from 1 species
AUGUCUCUCGGCAACGGAUAUCUUGGUCCUCGCAUCGAUGAAGAACGUAGCGAAAUGCGAUACUUGGUGUGAAUUGCAGAAUCCCGUGAACCAUCGAAUUUUUGAACGCAAGUUGCGCCCUAAGCUUCCGGGCCGAGGGCAAGCCUGCGUGGG